AUUGAACGCUGGCGGCAGGCCUAACACAUGCAAGUCGAACGAGUGGCGGACGGGUGAGUAAUGUCUGGGAAACUGCCUGAUGGAGGGGGAUAACUACUGGAAACGGUAGCUAAUACCGCAUACCAUCGGAUGUGCCCAGAUGGGAUUAGCUGGUAGGUGGGGUAAAGGCUCACCUAUGCGACGAUCCAUAGCUCGUCUGAGAGGAUGACGACGCACACUGGAAGUGAUACACGGCCAAGCUUCCUUCGGUAGGCAGAAGGGGCGAGUAUAGAACAGUGGGGACAAGUCGGAUGUACCGAGGCCGCGGUGAUGAAGAAUGCCUUCUGUUUGUAAAGUAAUUUCAGCGGGGAGGCGUUGCCCGCAGAAGAAGCACCGGCUAACUCCGUGCCAGCAGCCGCUGUAAUUC
rnacentral:rRNA from 1 species